rnacentral:rRNA from 1 species
ACCUGCGGAAGGAUCAUUGUCGUGACCCUGGCCAAAACAGACCGUGAACUUGUCGUCCAAUCUGCCGGGUGAUGGGGCUUGAACCCGCCUCUGGGCAUAGGUCCCCGACAUCCUCCGGGGGUGUGAGGGCCCCCAACAGAACCCAGGGCGCCGGUGGCGCCAAGGUACACCUAACAUUGCCUUCCUCGAGGCUGCGGCUGGCUUGCCUGACGCGCCUCGGGCAGCAAUGCAAUCAUAUUCUCAUAUGACUCUCGGCAACGGAUAUCUCGGCUCUCGCGUCGAUGAAGAACGUAGCAAAAUGCGAUAACUGGUGUGAAUUGCAGAAUCCCGUGAACCAUCGAGUUUUUGAACGCAAGUUGCGCCCGAAGCCUUGUAGCUGAGGGCACGUCUGCCUGGGCGUCACGUCAAAAGACACUCCCCAUCGUUUCUGGUGCAGGACGUGGUGUUUGGCCCCCCCGUGUUGGAAUAGUGCGGUGGGCCGAAGCUGGGGCUGCCGGCGUAAUGGGCCGGUCACAGCACGAGGUGGAUGACACGCGGUGUUCUCACAGUUGUGGCUUGCAUCGCUCCCCGCGAUGCGAUGGCCCCUAAGGACCCAUUGACCGAAGCGCACAUUGUUUCGACCGCGACCCCAGGUCAGUCGGGACUACCCGCUGAAUUUAAGC